rnacentral:rRNA from 1 species
AGCGAACGCUGGCGGCAGGCUUAACACAUGCAAGUCGAACGCCCCGCAAGGGGAGUGGCAGACGGGUGAGUAACACGUGGGAACGUACCCUUUGGUUCGGAAUAACUUGGGGAAACUCAAGCUAAUACCGGAUAAGCCCUUAUGGGGAAAGGUUUACUGCCGAAGGAUCGGCCCGCGUCUGAUUAGCUAGUUGGUGAGGUAAUGGCGCACCAAGGCGACGAUCAGUAGCUGGGCUGAGAGGAUGAUCAGCCACACUGGGACUGAGACACGGCCCAGACUCCUGCGGGAGGCAGCAGUGGGGAAUAUUGGACAAUGGGGGCAACCCUGAUCCAGCCAUGCCGCGUGAGUGAUGAAGGCCUUAGGGUUGUAAAGCUCUUUUACCCGGGACGAUAAUGACUGUACCGGGAGAAUAAGCCCCGGCUAACUUCGUGCCAGCCGCCGCCGUAA